GGCACUAUGGCGGAGUGGUUAACGCGAUGCCCUGCUAUACCCUAUUUGGAUUAGCGUAGGCAUUCCCUUCGGGGGCGUGAGUUCGAAUCUCACUGGUGUCG
rfam:Aspergillus nomius NRRL 13137 contig00172, whole genome shotgun sequence.